rnacentral:rRNA from 1 species
CNAGGAGGGUCNAGCGUUAUCGGAAUUACUUGGGCGUAAAGCGUACGUAGGCGGUUAUUUAAGUCAGGUGUGAAAGCCCCGGGCUCAACCUGGGAACUGCAUUUGAAACUGGAUAACUCGAGUUUAGUAGAGGGGAGUGGAAUUUCAGGUGUAGCGGUGAAAUGCGUAGAGAUCUGAAGGAACACCAGUGGCGAAGGCGACUCCCUGGACUAAAACUGACGCUGAGGUACGAAAGCGUGGGUAGCAAACAGGAUUAGAUACCCUGGUAGUCCACGCCGUAAACGAUGUCAACUAACCGUUGGGCCUAAUUACAGGCUUAGUGGUGGAGCUAACGUAUUAAGUUGACCGCCUGGGGAGUACGGCCGCAAGGUUAAAACUCAAAUGAAUUGACGGGGGCCCGCACAAGCGGUGGAGCAUGUGGUUUAAUUCGAUGCAACGCGAAGAACCUUACCUACCCUUGACAUCCUCAGAACUUGUUAGAAAUAACUUGGUGCCUUCGGGAACUGAGUGACAGGUGCUGCAUGGCUGUCGUCAGCUCGUGUCGUGAGAUGUUGGGUUAAGUCCCGUAACGAGCGCAACCCUUAUCCUUAGUUGCCAGCACAUAAUGGUGGGAACUCUAAGGAGACUGCCGGUGAUAANCCGGANGAAGGUGGGGACGACGUCAAGUCAUCAUGGCCCUUACGGGUAGGGCUACACACGUGCUACAA